rnacentral:misc_RNA from 1 species
GAAAUGCGAUAAGUAAUGUGAAUUGCAGAAUUCAGUGAGUCAUCGAAUCUUUGAACGCACAUUGCGCCCGCCAGUAUUCUGGCGGGCAUGCCUGUUCGAGCGUCAUUUCAACCAUCAAGCCCCCCGGCUUGUGUUGGGGACCUGCGGCUGCCGCAGGCCCUGAAAAGCAGUGGCGGGCUCGCUGUCACACCGAGCGUAGUAGCAUACAUCUCGCUCUGGGCGUGCUGCGGGUUCCGGCCGUUAAACCACCUUCGUAACCCAAGGUUGACCUCGGAUCAGGUAGGAAGACCCGCUGAACUUAAGC